CCUACGGGGGGCAGCAGUGAGGAAUAUUGGUCAAUGGACGAGAGUCUGAACCAGCCAAGUCGCGUGAAGGAUGACUGCCCUAUGGGUUGUAAACUUCUUUUAUAUGGGAAUAAAAUGUUCCACGUGUGGGAUUUUGUAUGUACCAUAUGAAUAAGGAUCGGCUAACUCCGUGCCAGCAGCCGCGGUAAUACGGAGGAUCCGAGCGUUAUCCGGAUUUAUUGGGUUUAAAGGGAGCGUAGGUGGAUUGUUAAGUCAGUGGGGAAAGUUUGCGGCUCAACCGUAAAAGUGCAGUUGAAACUGGCAGUCUUGAGUACAGGAGAGGUGGGCGGAAUUCGUGGUGUAGCGGUGAAAUGCUUAGAUAUCACGAAGAACCCCGAUUGCGAAGGCAGCUCACUGGAUUGCAACUGACACUGAGGCUCGAAAGUGUGGGUAUCAAACAGGAUUAGAUACCCCAGUAGUC
rnacentral:rRNA from 1 species